GGGUGCAGUGGCUCACACCUGUAAUCCCAGCACUUUGGGAGGCCGAGGCAGACAGAUCAUGAGGUCAGGAGUUGGAGACCAGCCUAGCCAACAAGGCGAAACCCUGUCUCUACUAAAAAUACAAGAAUUAGUCAGGCAUGGUCGUAGGUGCCUGUAAUUCCAGCUACUCAGGAGGCUGAGGCAGGAGAAUCGCUUGAACCAGGGACGCAGAGGUUGCAGUGAGCCGAGAUCGUGCCAUUGCACUCCAGCCUGGGCGACAGAGCGAGACUCCGUGACUCCGUCUCAAAAAAAAAAAAAACAAACAACCCAGAAUCAGGCAUGGACAAACAGUGUACUCAAAGUACAGGAUUAGACCAAUAGAUUUUUAUAACAGUAUGAAAAAUUCAUUGAUGGGGCGUCAGAUUUAACAUUGUAACUAAUUUUUGAGGAACUAUGACUUGUUGAGUUUUGAUGUAGUAUCAGAGAAUAUCCAAUGCUGGCCAUGGUGGA
rnacentral:lncRNA from 1 species